rnacentral:rRNA from 1 species
UACGGAGGAUCCAAGCGUUAUCCGGAUUUAUUGGGUUUAAAGGGUGCGUAGGCGGCCUAUUAAGUCAGGGGUGAAAGACGGUAGCUUAACUAUCGCAGUGCCUUUGAUACUGAUGGGCUUGAAUGUACUUGAGGUAGGCGGAAUGUGACAAGUAGCGGUGAAAUGCAUAGAUAUGACACAGAACACCGAUUGCGAAGGCAGCUGACGAAACUGUAACUGACGCUGAGGCACGAAAGCGUGGGGAUCAAACAGG